UAGUGAUGAGAAUUAUAGAUGACGAGUCAGAUUCGAGUUUCUCGAUGUUGAUACAGACUCAAUUUAUACCAUUCAUGCAAUCCUGACG
rnacentral:snoRNA from 1 species